rnacentral:pre_miRNA from 1 species
ACUGGCUGAGGUAGUAGUUUGUGCUGUUGGUUGGGUUAUGACAUUGCCUGCUAUGGAGAUGACUGCGCAAACUACUGCCUUGCUAGU